rnacentral:lncRNA from 1 species
GUGCCCAGAGUCUCACUCACACCCAGUCAUGAAUUGUGCAAAGUUUCUCCUCCUUUUCAGCCUCGUCACUCUUGUGGCAUUUGGUACAGCUGAGGCAGAUGGUCACACUACGGAGAGUAAUAAGCACAGUGCCACAGAAGACGUAUUCCCGGACUCUGGCCCUCAACACAUCCUCAGGAAGAGGUUCGCGAAGGGUCAUGACGCCAACAAAACCCAUGGAUCCUCCGUUAAGUUCUAGAAACUUCGAGAAUUUCAAGAACGGGAGAGAAGGACGGACGGACGAUAGACGAUUUCUGCGACAAAUGGAAUGAAUGAGGGAAUUGACAUAUAUACGACAAAUAUAUAGAUGGGCAUAGAAGAUUAGAUUAUACAGAGUGAGGGAUAUAAGACUGAUAAGGCGAUAGAAUAUUGAAAUUCCUUAUGUAAACAAUAAUGUCAUGUAUUAAUGCACAA